ACUCUCAUGCAGUCGUGACGAGGAGAGAUGCGGAGCUUGCUCCCUGAUGUUAGCGGCGGACGGGUGAGUAACACGUGGGUAACCUGCCUGUAAGACUGGGAUAACUCCGGGAAACCGGGGCUAAUACCGGAUGGUUGUUUGAACCGCAUGGUUCAAACAUAAAAGGUGGCUUCGGCUACCACUUACAGAUGGACCCGCGGCGCAUUAGCUAGUUGGUGAGGUAAUGGCUCACCAAGGCAACGAUGCGUAGCCGACCUGAGAGGGUGAUCGGCCACACUGGGACUGAGACACGGCCCAGACUCCUACGGGAGGCAGCAGUAGGGAAUCUUCCGCAAUGGACGAAAGUCUGACGGAGCAACGCCGCGUGAGUGAUGAAGGUUUUCGGAUCGUAAAGCUCUGUUGUUAGGGAAGAACAAGUACCGUUCGAAUAGGGCGGUACCUUGACGGUACCUAACCAGAAAGCCACGGCUAACUACGUGCCAGCAGCCGCGGUAAUACGUAGGUGGCAAGCGUUGUCCGGAAUUAUUGGGCGUAAAGGGCUCGCAGGCGGUUUCUUAAGUCUGAUGUGAAAGCCCCCGGCUCAACCGGGGAGGGUCAUUGGAAACUGGGGAACUUGAGUGCAGAAGAGGAGAGUGGAAUUCCACGUGUAGCGGUGAAAUGCGUAGAGAUGUGGAGGAACACCAGUGGCGAAGGCGACUCUCUGGUCUGUAACUGACGCUGAGGAGCGAAAGCGUGGGGAGCGAACAGGAUUAGAUACCCUGGUAGUCCACGCCGUAAACGAUGAGUGCUAAGUGUUA
rnacentral:rRNA from 1 species